AGCUAUUGAAUCCACUGCUAGAAUGGAAGAAUCCUAUGCACAUGAAAAAGGACUUGACGGUUGGUUUAGGCUUUCUUUGGCCUGACUGAUCGAAGGCGUGGUAGGCUUCUUUCGUGGUAGACCAGGCCCCUUUCUCUUCUAUCUCUUCUCUAAUUCUUCUUACAUUUCUUUCUUCGAGAGUGGUGCUGCGAGAUCAACCACGGGUUCGAUUGACCCGUCUCUUCUGAGGUGCGCCGCGUUGAUAGGUCGUCGCAAGGAAUU
rnacentral:lncRNA from 1 species